CCGAGUUUACAACUCCCCAAACCCCUGUGAAACAUACCACUUGUUGCCUCGGCGGAUCAGCCCGCUCCCGGUAAAGCGGGACGGCCCGCCAGAGGACCCCUAAACUCUGUUUCUAUAUGUAACUUCUGAGUAAAAACCAUAAAUAAAUCAA
rnacentral:misc_RNA from 1 species